rnacentral:lncRNA from 1 species
CAACACUCACUUGGUGGACUUGAGUUUGGGUGAAGUCCGGGAGUUGGUGAUGGACAGGGAGGCCUGGCGUGCUGCGAUUCAUGGGGUCGCAAAGAGUCAGACACGACUGAGCGACUGAACUGAAUUGAACUGAACCACCAUUGGCAUUUGCCGAAUAGGGAAAGGCAUUUCAGAGACGACAAGGCAGCUGACCUAUUGUGCGGGAGCGGUUCAGUAAACAGUGUGGAAGAGUGAUGCGUGGAUGCUAAGGGGUCUUGUGGCCAAGGAAGCCUGGUAGAGUGUGGCGAGGCACAGACGUGGCUGGAUUGCAACUGCCCGCUUCCGCCUGGCCGUCACUCACGUCCUGUGGGUCUUGCAGCUUCUUACCCAUAAAGAUGAACUUCAAAUGUGCAGGCUUCCAAAAGCCACUUGGUCUGGGUGGUUCCUCCUCACGACACCAGUGGUUUUCCUCUGAACUUUUCUCCACCACAUCCUGACCCCCCGGCCCCCAAAUUUCCUGCUUGUUUGCACCCACGUUGAGUCUUCGGAUGUCGAAUUUUUGCAGGCCUGUGUCUGUGUUCUCAGUCCCGUUUUCCCCUGAGGUUCUUGACUUGGGUUCAACCCCCGUGGUUCUCCGUGACCUGAAACACAGUAUUCGUUUCCACUGAAACAUCUGAGAUCUGAUCUGUUUCAGGGGAGCAACGAUUCCCAGGAGAGGGAAACCCAGCCCCAGCGACCUGCAGAAAGAGGCGGCUUUGGCUUCCGUCACGUUGAGUGGUGCGGGUCCAUCAGAAGCUCCAAGGACACCCGUAAGGUAAGCGUUCCUCCCCGCUCUGGAUGUGCGCCUGUUGACCUGAUGCGUUCACGCCCUUUUUUGUUUAAUCACAGUGUGCAGACUGCUUAUUCGAGGGCACCUUCCCUCACAGCCUUGAGUGGUUCCACAUAACCAUCACCAGUUCCUUGGUCUCUCUGCUCAGUCAUUCCUGUGCCUCAUUAAGCAGACUGUGCGUGUAAUUCAUCCACCUUGAACACUGACUCGGCAUCUACUUGGCUAGCUGUUGUGUUGCACCUUUGUUAUUACAAAGAAACAAAUUUAAACAUUAGAAUGGUGCACAUGUAUAGUAAUGAAAUGCUUAACAUUCUGCCCGUGUCGGAGUAGAUCUUAAAGCUAAACUGAACGUCCACGUGCCACUCACGUCAGGAAAGGCAGAGGUGGCGUUUGAUGAUUUUGCCCUGUAUGCCCAGAGGACACAUGGUUGUGACCUUAAUAAAAACGAUGUUUCCUGUAUGACA